GAUGAAGAACUCAGCGAAAUGCGAUAAGUAAUGUGAAUUGCAGAAUUCAGUGAAUCAUCGAAUCUUUGAACGCACCUUGCACCCUUUGGCAUUCCGAAGGGUAUGCUCGUUUGAGUGUCAUUGUACUCUCACACUCUCCGAUCCUAUGGAUUCGGGGAGCGGUGGACUUGGGUGUUGCUGCCUUUCCUUGUGGCUCACCUCAAAUGUGUCAGUGCACCUCUUGGUUGGACAUAGUACGGCGUGAUAAGUGUCUUCGCCGGCACCUCGCAAGAGGGUGGCCGAUCGGGAGCUCUGUGCUUUCAAACCGUCUUCGGACAAUUUCUGACAACUUGACCUCAAAUCGAGUAGGACUACCCGCUGAACUUAAGCAUAUCAAUAAGCGGAGGA
rnacentral:misc_RNA from 1 species